UAUGAAGACUGGAUUAUUUUUGGACCCUGAACUUUGUAUUCAAUGAAAAGGUUUGAUGGUGUACAUAAACGUUUGUAUUAUAAAGGGACUAGGUGACAGAUGGACACCAAAGAACCACGGAGACCUGGAAGGGGUACUUUACAAAGGAAUCCCCAGUAUAACAAGGGCAAACUAAGUAAUUCCUAGGGCAGCCCAGUUGCCCUGGGUGUAAAGAGGGUAGCAAGAGGAAUAACUAAGUGCCUGCUAAUUGCAAAGUGAAUAUUUAACCAGGUAUAAAGGGGAGUAAAGAAUGUCAUGAAUAAUGAUCCACUUAGUCAACUUUGGAAUGUGAUGUAUGAU
rnacentral:lncRNA from 1 species